UACGUAGGGGGCAAGCGUUGUCCGGAUUUAUUGGGCGUAAAGAGCGUGUAGGCGGUCAGGUAGGUCCGUUGUGAAAACUCGAGGCUCAACCUCGAGACGCCGAUGGAAACCAUCUGACUAGAGUCCGGAAGAGGAGAGUGGAAUUCCUGGUGUAGCGGUGGAAUGCGCAGAUAUCAGGAGGAACACCGGUGGCGAAGGCGCCACUCUGGGCCGGUACUGACGCUGAGGAGCGAAAGCGUGGGGAGCGAACAGG
rnacentral:rRNA from 1 species